UCGGGAUACGAGUGACCCGACUUGGGAGCUUUUUGGGAUAUGGGCCGAGAUUCUGCUUUGACUUGGCGGGCAAAAAAAAAACUGGUAGCCAACUCACCCGACUUCAAAAGAAAUUACAGUUAAUGAAAUCUUUAUUAACACUCCCACUUGAAGUUGACCGUCAUACCGCACAUCAAACAAAAGCAAUGACGAGUUGCAUAUUUCAAACAACGACACAACUUUGCCUUAAAGUUUGGCUAGAUCGAUGCUAACACCUCAGAUCGGCUGACGAACGGCACAUUGUCGUCGUGUUGCAACCCACGGACAUUUGAACGUGUUCGCCCGACGCACGCUGAGAGACGCCGGCGGCCAUGAUUUGAACAUUAAUCACAUGAAUGCCGCCGCACACGAGCGCAGCAGGCCUCGCGUGCUUCUGGAUGGCAGGUGGCGGCAAAAGUGAAGCAGUUUUGCCAUCGGGGGUAGGUGGGAAGGCAUGCAGAACAGCUGCUCGAUCGAAUUAUCACCUGUCCAAUCGAGCCUGCCUGCUGCUUUGUAGUUGCCGCAGCCACCCUGAGAAACCAUCAAAGCAGUCGUGUUGGCAGGAGAACACAUUUCUGGAUUGUCCUUCAAGGAAUUCAUUUACUGUACAAGAAAGUGAGCAUCCAUUUUGAUAAAUCAUCAAGCAGUCCAUUCUUCCAAAGCCACAUCAAUCAAUAAAAAAAGCAGAAAGCUUGACAGAAAA